UGGGGAAUAUUGGACAAUGGGCGCAAGCCUGAUCCAGCCAUGCCGCGUGAGUGACGAAGGCCUUAGGGUUGUAAAGCUCCUUUUGGCGGGGAAGAUAAUGACGGUACCCGCAGAAUAAGCUCCGGCUAACUUCGUGCCAGCAGCCGCGGUAAUACGAAGGGAGCUAGCGUUGUUCGGAAUCGCUGGGCGUAAAGCGCACGUAGGUGGGCAGUUAAGUCAGGGGUGAAAGCCCGAGGCUCAACCUCGGAAUUGCCUCUGAUACUGGCUGUCUAGAGUUCGAGAGAGGUGAGUGGAAUUCCUAGUGUAGAGGUGAAAUUCGUAGAUAUUAGGAAGAACACCGGUGGCGAAGGCGGCUCACUGGCUCGAUACUGACACUGAGGUGCGAAAGCGUGGGGAGCAAACAGGAUUAGAUACCCGCGUAGUCCCUGAGCGGGCUGGCAAGGCGCAU
rnacentral:rRNA from 1 species